UAAAGCAGAACCCACAAAAGCAUUUCAAUAGAACCUUAAUAACAAAAGUAAAAUCUGAUGAACACACUUAAAACCUGUCUUAAAUCUUAAUAUGGCAUAUCAAAGUUGAACAAAGAACUACAAGUACAAGCAACAACAAGCAGUUAAUUCUUACAAAACUACACAAUCUAACCAAAGUCCCACCUCAAAUUCCAAUAUGAUGUCAUGUAAAUGUUGUCAUAACAUCAUAUGUUUAAUCGUAUUAUAAUCAUAUGCCUUCUUCCUACACCUAACAAUCUCAUCCCUGUAGAUGAAUUUAGUGAAAAUCUUGUUACGAUUAUAGAUUAUAACUCGAUAGAAAAAAAAAUGCACAUAACAGAUGUCACCUGAGUGUCCUUGCCAAGAGAUCCUGAAAUAAACGUAAGUUUCAUGAGGUAUUGUUUGUCUAGCAGUCAGUACCCGAUUAUAGGAAAUGAUUACUCAAGCUCACCUCAUGUUAGAUACAAGGUUUUUUAAUAGCAUUGGCUGAAAGCAACUUUAAUUCAGUGUGAGGUGCCACUAUUCCAAGAAAAAAUCGAAAUUAUAGGACAGUGAUCAAAAAUAAGACUACAUAAGCAACAAGAGUGUAUCAAACUAUAAAUACCCAACAUUUGCACACUAAGGCCCAAUCUGAAAGAAAUAUCUCUUGAAUGCAUGUUGAUCUUUCAUUCUUCACACUACGCACAACAUGGUGAUAGGCAUCCCCAGAAAUUUGUUGAUUAUCCAAAAGCACAUCAGACCUUCAAAGUUUUUUAUUUCAUUAGAAUAGCAAAAGGGAAAACCUGAUUUAUAAUCAUAAAAGCGAUUUCCUGGAAUUUGAUAGGAAGCAAAAAACCUAUCUUUUUGGAAAUCGGAACUUUCUCAAAGAAGAUUUAAGUGAAGAUGCGAAGAAGUAAGGUUGUACACAUGCCAAUAACUUGUUAUUUAUUUAAUACAGACCUCUUAUAUGACAAACUAAAAUAACGAAUCUAGUCAAUUUGCAGAAGCGGAUAUGAAGCAGAUAAUCAACAUGCCAAUCAGAAAUGGUCCCUAAAAUCUUGAAUAAGACAAAUAACUUAAAAGAUUAAAAAUACAGACACAAAUAACCACUUCAACAAAUUAGAAAACUCUAAAUUAUUGAAAAAAUAAGAUGAACCAAUCUUAUCUUCAAUAUCAAAAAAUGAUAACAACGAAAAAAAAUUGAGAAAUCAACUCUUAGGGUUUUGAGAGAGAGACAACAGACCAACCACAACCUGAAGAAAAAAUAAAAUACUCUGAAUAAAACAUACAUAAAAAUAAAAAUCUUGAGGAACCCCAAAACAGAAAACUUAGUUAAUUUUGCUAUCGUUGAAGAAGCUCUAGAUUAAUCAAUUCCCUUGCUCCAGUUUUGUUUGAUUUAGUAAUUGAUCAGAUGUUGUACUUUUAUGAAGGUAUAGAACAUCAAACAUCCAAACAUCCAUUUCUAAUUUCCUCCAGAAUCCAUAUAAAAAUUUAAUCAAUUAAAUUAAAAUCAAAACUACUAACCUUAAUUUCUGUAACCCAUUUUCUUCACCGUGAAAAAGAAUAAGAUUAGAGGAUAAAGAACCCAUUUUAUCAAAUCCAAAUUGUGAAAUAUAUUAAAGAAAAUUGAAUCUAAUCUGUGGUAAUGCGAUAAGUGGUGGCCUGUGUUAGGGUUUCGGGAGUAGGAGGGGAAAGGGAUUAGAAAGAAAUUAUACAUGAAGGAGAGUAACAACCAAUCAAAUCUCUUGUCAAAACGGAAAAUGGAACAAUAGAGAAUGAGAGAAGAGAAGCGGUUGUGUAUUGGGUAACAUAAACAAAAUCGCAGAAAGGGAUUUAAACCAAUUAUCAGCAUUUUGGACCUUUAUUGAAGCAGAGAGUUGAAUCGCUUGCGUGAACAAUUUCCAACGAUUAUUUAAAGGUUGUUCAUCACCUUUGCGAAUAACCCAUAACCAUUCAGCAUCAGAGAAAAAUGUGUCAUGGUAGAAUGUAGAAGAGAAGUAAGAACAAUUACAUGGUAACGUAAAUUUGAUGUUUCCCUAAUAUGAGAUAAGAAGGGGAGACGUCGUCUCGAGGGGAAUCAGAGAUAAUUAUAUGGGAAGAAAAAUCAUAUAAGAAGAGGGACAAUUUCGUAGUCCUUUGGGAAACAUUAACAGUGAAGCGGUCAUGAGAUACGACACAGUGGAACAUAGGCAUUGUGAAUCGACGUUGGUGUCCAUAACAUCGUUUCAGAAGGCAGUUGACGUGACGUUCAAUGAAGGAUGUNAA
rnacentral:lncRNA from 1 species